rnacentral:rRNA from 1 species
GACGAACGCUGGCGGCGUGCCUAAUACAUGCAAGUAGAACGCUGAAGAGAGGAGCUUGCUCUUCUUGGAUGAGUUGCGAACGGGUGAGUAACGCGUAGGUAACCUGCCUUGUAGCGGGGGAUAACUAUUGGAAACGAUAGCUAAUACCGCAUAACAAUGGAUGACACAUGUCAUUUAUUUGAAAGGGGCAAUUGCUCCACUACAAGAUGGACCUGCGUUGUAUUAGCUAGUAGGUGAGGUAACGGCUCACCUAGGCGACGAUACAUAGCCGACCUGAGAGGGUGAUCGGCCACACUGGGACUGAGACACGGCCCAGACUCCUACGGGAGGCAGCAGUAGGGAAUCUUCGGCAAUGGGGGCAACCCUGACCGAGCAACGCCGCGUGAGUGAAGAAGGUUUUCGGAUCGUAAAGCUCUGUUGUAAGUCAAGAACGAGUGUGAGAGUGGAAAGUUCACACUGUGACGGUAGCUUACCAGAAAGGGACGGCUAACUACGUGCCAGCAGCCGCGGUAAUACGUAGGUCCCGAGCGUUGUCCGGAUUUAUUGGGCGUAAAGCGAGCGCAGGCGGUUUGAUAAGUCUGAAGUUAAAGGCUGUGGCUCAACCAUAGUUCGCUUUGGAAACUGUCAGACUUGAGUGCAGAAGGGGAGAGUGGAAUUCCAUGUGUAGCGGUGAAAUGCGUAGAUAUAUGGAGGAACACCGGUGGCGAAAGCGGCUCUCUGGUCUGUAACUGACGCUGAGGCUCGAAAGCGUGGGGAGCAAACAGG